rnacentral:tRNA from 1 species
GAAUCAAGAAAUCCAAAAUAAAGCUUCUAACUUUGAUUUUAAGCAGUGAAAUUCUGUUUUUGAUUCC